rnacentral:lncRNA from 1 species
UGUGGCUCAGUGCUUAAGCGCCCCUGGGUUCAAUCCCCAAUACCAAAAGAAAAAAAAUUACCAGCAAGCCUGAGAGGAGAACAGUAAGUUCUGAAGUCGCCCGGACAGCGGUUCCACAAGAGGGCGGCCCCUGUGUCCCACGUGCAUCUGCUUUGGCUGCUGGAGUGGAGGUGUGGCCAGCUGGCACUUGCUUCCUGACAUGGGAUUGGGUGGCCCCUUCUUCCACCCUCACAUGAGGAUCUCCACCCGCAGCCUCCCCACAGCCGCGUCCUUGGGCUAGGGACGUGUUCAGGCCACCAGAACAGCGACUGCCAGGUGCGGGCCACUGUCCCGCACGCACACAUGGACUCCCUGCAUCUUUACAGCCAGGUGUUCUCCACUGUGAGUUCAGCUAGAGCCAAGGGCCUGUGGCCCAGCCAGUUCAGGCUGCUGUGACCUGCAGCAGCGUGCAGCUGCUGGCGGGGAGGGGACCUGUCCGUGGAGGGCUCCCUGGAGGUGGGGCUCUGCAGGUCUGACCGGGGCUGGAGCCCAGAGGUGUGUGACUGCUGAGCCACCAGCCCUUUCUACUUUUUAUUUUAGGAUGGGGUUUUGCUAAGUUGCUUGGGGCCUCCUUAAGUUGAUGAGGCUGGCCUCGAACUCUCGAACAUCCUGCCCCAGCCUCUCAGCCACCACACCUGGCUUCUCUCCUUUUCUGAUCCACAUUGAGGCUGCUCCUGAGGUCUUGUAGCCUCUCUUCUGAGUGACUAGGCCCACCAGAGUUAUGGUCAGACUUUUCUAACUGGUAAUUUUGUACUUUAGUCCAAAAAGUUGUUCCCAGGCAAAGCCAGUCCUGCAACUCACAAUUUGGGAGAAGACUGCCCACCCCAGACUCGGGCCCUCCCAUGUGGAUCGCUCAGACUGAAGAGCAACCACUGCUGGGAGGAGUGGAAGAGUCCGGAGGUGACCCACAGCUCAGGAGCAGGAGCGGGACCUAGAGAUGGCAGCUGGGGCCCCAGGAGUGGCACAGCAUGAGAGGCCAGGGCCCAGACAUGGUGACACCCUAGGCAGCCGUCACACAAGUCACAUGGGCUAGGGUGUCUGGCAGGUUACAGGAAGUGGCCAUGCCUUGUCAGUGCCUCCCCACCUGUCCAGCCUGGAGUGGUAAGCCCCGAGACCCUGCGGCCCCUCGCACCUUGCCAGCUCUUGCCAGGGAGGCCCAGGAGAGGAUCGGCCAGGCCAGACCUCCCUCCAGAGCAGCCCACAGCCCAGAAGCCCCUGCGCGGCCCCAGCAGAGCAGUCGGCAGCUCCCGUGCCCUCCAAAGGGAGCUGUGUGCCCCCCAGAUAGCUGCUGCACCUGCCUUCCAGAGAGAAGGAGACCACCAGGGUGUGCAGCUUAGUCCACCUCUGAAAGAGGAAGUGGGGGAAGCACUUGCUCUCUUUGGUUUCUUGUAUAAUUCACAAACUGCCUACAGUGGACAUGUAGUAGAUAUAUAGAAAACGUUAUUGACUAACAUUAAAAAUUGUUGGGCUGGGGACAUAGCUCAGUAGCAGCUGGUGCAUGAGUCCGUGGGCUCCAGCACCUGUGUACUUGGUCAUUUUCUGGACAAGCCUCUACUAAGCUUCAUUACCCCCCAUGUGACUGCCCACCAGGCACCUGAGGACCAG